rnacentral:lncRNA from 1 species
AGUGCCGCUCAGAGGAUAAAGAUAAUUCAGGGCUCAGUUUCAAUAAAUAAUACAUAGUCUCAGGUACAAUGAGUACCUGUAAGUACCUUCUGCGCAGCCUCACGACGUAGGUUAUCGCUCUCCCUGCAGUUCCAGAAGCUCACUGCGCACCUGUUGUUGAUGAAACCGCUCCAUGAAAGGCUGGUAUCCUAACAACCAGGGACAUUUGUUUAUAAGAUAUUCAACAGAACAGUGUUUGUUCAGACCUGUGGUUCCAACAACAACAAGAAGAAAUUCCAACAACAAGAAGAAACAAACGGAAAUCUGCCAGCAACGAAGGUGUACCACAGUGCAAAUCAACUCAGUAGGACUUGAUCACCCUUCGUGAAACAGGUUCUUAUCAUGCAAAGCAAAGGACUUAACCCUAACCCACAGUUAAGCACCUCCACAUAUAACAUCUCAUGAAGGCCAGACCUAAAGGACAUUUGGGAGCUCAUAGCAGUGCUGCUAUGAGACACUUCUUGAUCAAGAAGAAGGCCAGACCUUGCCCUUCUUUAUUCCAAAAUACUUUGAGUACAUAUGACAAUUUCUCAAUCAGUAGACUCCUCCAUUUAUGAAUUACUUUUGCUCAAUGCAUUUCAGGUUGAGUGUUUUCUAGUGAGGUAGGAGAUAACAUAUUUAAAUUUUAUAAGCCUUUCUGGGAAAAGGUGAGGGAUAAAUUAAUUUUAAGGCAUUUGUCACAUUAAAUAUGUAUUAUUAAAUUAAAACAUACUUAUUGCAACAUACUUAAUGAUGUAAAAGGUAAAAUCCUGCCUGUUCCUCUAUAAUCUCAUUUUCAUGUGCUGUUCGUAUACUGGUAAAGUCUUUUAGACCUCUACUCAUGCAAACACCAAUAUAAAUGCAAACACAUGUAGAAUAAAUGCAAUCAUACUAUAUACAUUGCUCUACGUCUUAAUUUUUAUAUAACGUAUUCUCAGAAUAUAAACCUCCUUCUACGUAAGUCUAUACAAAUCUAGCCUUUUCUCUUUAAUGUCUAUAUGCUAUUUCCUACUAUAGGUGGUAUACCAUUUAUUUAUUCCUAUUGUCAGAUAAUCCUGUUAUGUCAAACACAUUUUAAUGUUCCGGAA